GCCCCACAAGCCAUCCCAGCUCUUGCCCUACUGUUUUUUUGUUUUGUUUUGUUUUGUUUUGUUUUGUUUUGAGCCAGAGUCUCUCUCUGUCCCCCAAGCUGGAGUGCAGUGGCAUGAUCUCGGCUCACUGCAACCUCCACCUCCCAGGUUCAAGCAAUUCUCCUGCCUCAGCCUCCUGAGUAGCUGGGAUUACAGGCAUGUGUCACCACGCCCAGCUAAUUUUUGUACUUUUGGUAGAGAUGGGGUUUUACCAUGCUGGCCAGGCUGGUCUCAAACUCCUGACCUCAGGUGAUCCACCCGCCUUAGCCUCCCAAAGUGCUAGGAUUACAGGCACGAGCCACUGUGCCUGGCCUCUUGUCCCAUUCUUUAGCUUGGCAUCACCCUGGCUGAGAUGUGGCCAGCACACAGGUGACUGUCUUCCUCCGAUUCUAACUCCUGGACACUGACACUGUCUAAAUCCCAGAUUUGCACAGCUCAAGACUGGCUGGAUGGGGCUCUCACUCCCUACUCCAAAAAGGUAGAAAAUAGGAGACCCCUGUGGACGUGGGACCCACCCCCCACCCUUGUGCUUGUAGGAGUCUCAACAGGCAGAUGCGUAGCUUUCAACCGGUCCGUCAAGACGUGUGAGGUGGCAGCCUGGUGCCCGGUGGAGGAUGACAAACACGUGCCACAACCUGCUUUUUUAAAGGCUGCAGAAAACUUCACUCUUUUGGUUAAGAACAACAUCUGGUACCCCAAAUUUAAUUUCAGCAAGAGGAAUAUCCUUCCCAACAUCACCACUACUUACCUCAAGUCCUGCAUUUAUGAUGCUAAAACAGAUCCCUUCUGCCCCAUAUUCCG
rnacentral:sRNA from 1 species